GAGUUUGAUCGUGGCUCAGAUUGAACGCUGGCGGCAGGCUUAACACAUGCAAGUCGAGCGGAGAUGAGGUGCUUGCACCUUAUCUUAGCAGCGGACGGGUGAGUAAUGCUUAGGAAUCUGCCUAUUAGUGGGGGACAACAUUCCGAAAGGGAGUGCUAAUACCGCAUACGUCCUACGGGAGAAAGCAGGGGAUCUUCGGACCUUGCGCUAAUAGAUGAGCCUAAGUCGGAUUAGCUAGUUGGUGGGGUAAAGGGCCUACCUAGGCGACGAUCUGUAGCGGGUCUGAGAGGAUGAUCCGCCACACUGGGACUGAGACACGGCCCAGACUCCUACGGGAGGCAGCAGUGGGGAAUAUUGGACAAUGGGGGGGAACCCUGAUCCAGCCAUGCCGCGUGUGUGAAGAAGGCCUUAUGGUUGUAAAGCACUUUAAGCGAGGAGGAGGCUACUGAGACUAAUACUCUUGGAUAGUGGACGUUACUCGCAGAAUAAGCACCGGCUAACUCUGUG
rnacentral:rRNA from 1 species